rnacentral:misc_RNA from 1 species
GCAAACUUGGUCAUUUAGAGGAAGUAAAAGUCGUAACAAGGUCUCCGUUGGUGAACCAGCGGAGGGAUCAUUAUAGAGUUGAAAAACUCCCAACCCUUUGUGAACGAACUCAACAGUUGCUUCGGCGGGGAGCCUCUUAGGGGGCCGACCGCCGGAGGAAAGCAAACUCGUUUAUUUUUGUAUCUCUGAGUACUUAUUUAAUAAGUUAAAACUUUCAACAACGGAUCUCUUGGUUCUGGCAUCGAUGAAGAACGCAGC